rnacentral:rRNA from 1 species
GACGAACGCUGGCGGCGUGCUUAACACAUGCAAGUCGAACGGAAAGGCCCUGCUUUUGUUGGGUGCUCGAGUGGCGAACGGGUGAGUAACACGUGAGUAACCUGCCCUUUACUUUGGGAUAACUUCAGGAAACGGGGGCUAAUACCGGAUAAGAGCACCUGCUGCAUGGCGGGGGUUGGAAAGGUGCGGCGGAUGGGGUAGGACUCGCGGCUUCUCAGCUUGAUGGUGGGGUAGUGGCAUAGCAAGGCGAUGGCGGGUAGCCGGACUGAGAGGGUGACCGGCCACAUAGGGACUGAGGAACGGCCCAGAGUCCUACGGGAGGAAGCAGUGGGGAAUAGUGCGCAAUGGGCGGAAGCCGGAUGCAGGAACGCCGGGUGCGGGAUGACGGCCGUCGGGGUGUAAACCGCGUGCGCCUGUGACGAAGCGUGAGUGACGGUAAUGGGUAAAGAAGCAACGGCUAACUACGUG